AUUGAACGCUGGCGGCAUGCCUUACACAUGCAAGUCGAACGGUAACAGGUUAAGCUGACGAGUGGCGAACGGGUGAGUAAUGUAUCGGAACGUGCCCAGUCGUGGGGGAUAACUACUCGAAAGAGUGGCUAAUACCGCAUACGACCUGAGGGCGAAAGCGGGGGACCGUAAGGCCUCGCGCGAUUGGAGCGGCCGAUAUCAGAUCAGCUAGUUGGUGGGGUAAAAGCCCACCAAGGCGACGAUCUGUAGCUGGUCUGAGAGGACGACCAGCCACACUGGGACUGAGACACGGCCCAGACUCCUACGGGAGGCAGCAGUGGGGAAUUUUGGACAAUGGACGCAAGUCUGAUCCAGCCAUGCCGCGUGCGGGAAGAAGGCCUCCGGGUUGUAAACCGCUUUUGUCAGGGAAGAAACGAGUUUCUCUAAUACAGAGACUUAAUGACGGUACCUGAAGAAUAAGCACCGGCUAACUACGUGCCAGCCGCCGCGGUAACAC
rnacentral:rRNA from 1 species